CUCGGCUCCUCGGCCCCUCCCUGCACGCCCCUGGGCCCCCCGAACUCAGCCCCAGGUAAGACCGAAGGCUUCACAUGUCCGGGAGGGGGCGGGGGUGGACACGGUGAGGACGAGGUUGGGUCCUCACUGCCCCCCCGCAGAGCGGUGGACGGGAUCGAAGACGACGGGGGGAUCCGGGAGGUGCGAACCUUCUGCUUCGGCGCGGCCCCUCGGCUGCAGGGAGCGCCCAGGGGCUCCCCGCCACCAGCGACUGCGGAGCGCGGCCCGGCGCUGGCGGCGGAGGUGGAGGCGGCGGAGCGCAGCAUCGUGCGGCUGAGCCGGGAGAUCGCCCACCUCAACCGCGAGGUUUCGCAGCUCGGCCGGGAGCUGCAGCGCGUGCUGGAGCUGCUUCAGGGCCGCCCGCCGCCCCCCGCGUGCCCUCGUCG
ensembl:lncRNA